rnacentral:rRNA from 1 species
GUCUACGGCCAUACCACCCUGAACGCGUCCGAUCUUGUCUGAUCUCGGAAGCUAAGCAGGGUUGGGCCUGGUUAGUACUUGGAUGGGAGCUCAUGAGAGCCUCUUUUAGAGGAGCUGGAAGGUGGCAGAAGGCU